UACAGAGGGUGCAAGCGUUGUUCGGAAUUAUUGGGCGUAAAGGGCGCGUAGGCGGUGCGGUAAGUCACCUGUGAAAUCUCCUGGCUCAACUGGGAGCUUGCAGGCGAAACUGCCGUGCUGGAGUGUGGGAGAGGUGCGUGGAAUUCCUGGUGUAGCGGUGAAAUGCGUAGAUAUCGGGAAGAACACCCGUGGCGAAGGCGGCACUCUGGGACGGUACUGACGCUGAGACGCGAAAGCGUGGGGAGCAAACAGG
rnacentral:rRNA from 1 species